rnacentral:misc_RNA from 1 species
GUGAUUGUUCCUCUCUCUAUUAUGCGUCAAUUACCAGCCAGGAUGCUGUUAAAUUUUCUCCAGUACUCGUGAAGCAAACUUUCGGAAAACAACCUUCAAGACCCAAGAAACUAAAAAGAAAUCAAUUUUCAAUGAUGAGUUGCUUCCCACUAUACUGAUCAUAUGUUAUGAACUACUGGGUAAACAUAUCAUUUCCCCUGAACCCACGACUAUGCCUAUUUCUGUGUAUUUGACCUCACAGUUUUGAGACAACUCUAAUACCAUGUGUCAUGACAAGAUAGGGAUUGGUGUCUUGAC